AUUGAACGCUAGCGGGAUGCCUUACACAUGCAAGUCGAACGGAUUGGCGAUCGGGUGAGUCAUGUAUCGGAACGUGCCCCGUAGCUGGGGAUAACUACCCGAAAUCGUAGCUAAUACCGCAUACUAUUUGAGCGCCCGUUAUCGGAUUGGCUAGUUGGUGGGGUAACGGCUCACCAAGGCGACGAUCCGUAGCUGGUUUGAGAGGACGACCAGCCACACUGGGACUGGGACACGGCCCAGACUCCUACGGGAGGCAGCAGUGGGGAAUUUUGGACAAUGGGGGAAACCCUGAUCCAGCCAUCCCGCGUGUGCGAUGAAGGCCUUCGGGUUGUAAAGCACUUUUGGCAGGAAAGCGGUACCUGAAGAAUAAGCACCGGCUAACUACGUGCCAGCAGCCGCGGUAAUUC
rnacentral:rRNA from 1 species